rnacentral:rRNA from 1 species
AGUGAACGCUGGCGGUAGGCCUAACACAUGCAAGUCGAACGGCAGCACAGGAGAGCUUGCUCUCUGGGUGGCGAGUGGCGGACGGGUGAGGAAUACAUCGGAAUCUACCUUUUCGUGGGGGAUAACGUAGGGAAACUUACGCUAAUACCGCAUACGACCUUCGGGUGAAAGCAGGGGACCUUCGGGCCUUGCGCGGAUAGAUGAGCCGAUGUCGGAUUAGCUAGUUGGCGGGGUAAAGGCCCACCAAGGCGACGAUCCGUAGCUGGUCUGAGAGGAUGAUCAGCCACACUGGAACUGAGACACGGGCCAGACUCCUACGGGAGGAAGCAGUGGGGAAUAUUGGACAAUGGGCGCAAGCCUGAUCCAGCCAUACCGCGUGGGUGAAGAAGGCCUUCGGGUUGUAAAGCCCUUUUGUUGGGAAAGAAAAGCAGUCGGCUAAUACCCGAUUGUUCUGACGGUACCCAAAGAAUAAGCACCGGCUAACUUCGUGCCAGCCGCCGCGGUAACAC